GUUGUUCUCACUAACAUCAUCAGCUUAUCAUCAUCCCUGCACAAGAGACACAUGUGUAGGACAGAUGUUAUCAUUCCUCGAGUCACAGGUAUUGGAAACUGAGGUAUGUGAGGCCAGGCAUAGUGGCUCACACCUAUAAUCCCAACAUUUUGGGAGGCUGAGGUAGGAGGAUCAUUUGAGCUCAGGAGUUUGAGACCAGCCUGGGCAAGACAGCAAGACCCCAUCUCUAUAAAAAAAUACAAGAAUUAUCUGGCCAUGGUGGCACAUACCUAUAGUCCCAGCUACUCAGGAGGCUGAGGUGGGAGGAUUGCUCAAGCCCAGGAGGUGAAAGUAAAGGCUGCAGUGAUCUGGGAUCACACCACUCCAUUCCAGCCUGGGCAACAGAGUGAGACUCUCCCUCAAAAACAAACAAACAAACAAACAAACAGGGUACGUGACUUUAUCAAAGGCCCAUAGACAACAAGGGACAGAGGAACUGUGGAAUCCAGUUAAUAAGAGUGACCCUAAAACUGUAAACGGAAAGUGACUUUUAACAUAAGCCCUGGCACUAUGCCAGGGACUGCCCAUAGUUUAUCUAAAUGAUGCUCCACAAACCUGUACAGUGAGUAUUUCUAUCCAACCUCUGUUAGCAAAUGAAAAAAUGGAGAUUCAGAAGGUUGAGAAAUUUAUGUAAAAUCACACAGCUAGUAUGAGUUCAAGCCAGAACGUAAUACCAAAAGAUUCCGAUUCCAGAGUCCACUUUCCUCCAAUUCCAUCACUAGGAUUCUGAUGCAUCACAGUGCAAUUCCCUGCAUUUACCCAUUCCUUCCACAAUGCCUUAUUUCACCUCUACUACAUGCAUCGGGCUGAGCCUGCACCUGAAUAUGUUCUCCUUCCUUCCAGAGGAUAGACUAUUUGGGGCUAUGGCUGGUCGUCUGCAGUGACUCUGAUCUCGAGAGCUGGGGCACACUACACAGCUUGUAUGAUAAUGCCAUGCAGAAGCAGAGACACAUCCCUGGUCACUAGCCUCUGUGGUUUCCCCAAAGAGUUAGUGCUGCCUGUAAAACAUUUUUUUGAGCCCUCAGUCUUCAGGUUAAAUGUUGAUGCUAAUCUUCUUCCAGAUGCACAUAUCCCCCCUGCUGUCUGCACUCCCAAGGAGCAGCACAGGACAGACUACGAGGAGCUUCUGAGGAAGGCUCAGCCUUGGGCAAAGUCAGAGUAUUCUGCAUCUUCCAGCCCAGAAUUUGAUGGGUGUCUUCCUGGUCUUCCCUGAUGUCUGUGAUGUCAGCAGUGCCAGCCUGUU
rnacentral:lncRNA from 1 species